UAUUAUUCUAGAAUUAAUAAAGAUCCUUGGGCUAGUAGUAGUUAUUUACUUAAAAUCUAAAAAACUUGGCGGUAAUUUAAUCUUCCCAGAGGAACUUGUUUUUUUAUCGAUAAUCCACGAAAAAUCUUACUUGUCUUCGUAUAGUUUGUAUACCGUCAUUAUAAGGUAAUUCUUAAAGGAAAAUUAUCAAACUUAGUUUUUUAUAAAAAUUAGAUCAAGGUGCAGCUUAUAGAUAAGGAAAAGUGAGUUACAAUAAAGUACUUUAAAUGGAACGACAGAAUAAUAGCUGUUGUGAAGGAGGAUUUGGUUGUAUUUUGAUUUUACUAAGGUCAAGAGAUAUAAGCUCUAAAUUAUGUACAUAU
rnacentral:rRNA from 1 species